UACGAAGGGGGCUAGCGUUGUUCGGAAUUACUGGGCGUAAAGCGCACGUAGUCGGCUUUGCAAGUCGGGUGUGAAAUCCCCGGGCUCAACCUGGGAACUGCAUCCGAGACUGCAUUGCUAGAGUAUGGGAGAGGGAAGCGGAAUUUCUGGUGUAGCAGUGAAAUGCGUAGAUAUCAGAAGGAACAUCAGUGGCGAAGGCGGCUUCCUGGACCAAUACUGACGAUCAGGUGCGAAAGCGUGGGGAGCAAACAGG
rnacentral:rRNA from 1 species